rnacentral:rRNA from 1 species
GGGGAAUCUUCCGCAAUGGGCGAAAGCCUGACGGAGCAACGCCGCGUGAGUGAAGACGGCCUUCGGGUUGUAAAGCUCUGUUAUACGGGACGAAUAGUCUUGUGGUUAAUACCCAUAAGAAGUGACGGUACCGUAAGAGAAAGCCACGGCUAACUACGUGCCAGCAGCCGCGGUAAUACGUAGGUGGCAAGCGUUGUCCGGAAUUAUUGGGCGUAAAGGGCGCGCAGGCGGCUUCUUAAGUCUGUUUUAAAAGUGCGGGGCUUAACCCCGUGAUGGGAUGGAAACUGGGAAGCUCAGAGUAUCGGAGAGGAAAGCGGAAUUCCUAGUGUAGCGGUGAAAUGCGUAGAUAUUAGGAGGAACACCAGUGGCGAAAGCGGCUUUCUGGACGAAAACUGACGCUGAGGCGCGAAAGCCAGGGGAGCGAACGGGAUUAGAUACCCCGGUAGUCCUGGCCGUAAACGAUGGGUACUAGGUGUAGGAGGUAUCGACCCCUUCUGUGCCGGAGUUAACGCAAUAAGUACCCCGCCUGGGGAGUACGGCCGCAAGGUUG